GUGGAAAGAGGCGUGAGAGCGACGCCGCCACUGACUAAUGGGGAGAGCCGUUGGUGUGGGGUGGGAGUAAGAGCGACUGCGAUUGGUGGAACGAGCCUGGGCUCCGCAGGGGGCAGCGCCGGGGUCUGUGGAGUCAGGCGCAGCAAGAUGGCGACCGAGACGGUGGAGCUCCACAAGCUGAAGAGCACUCCUUAAACUUUGGGAGGUCACAGAUAUCUUUGAAACUCUGAUGAAAGCUUGCUGAACUAAAGCAAGAAUGUCUUGCUCGUGGUUUAGAGACCAAGGGAAUAAAACAAGAUCUUAUCAAUAGGCUCCAGGCAUAUCUUGAAGAACAUGCUGAAGAGGAAGCAAAUGAAGAGGAUGUGCUGGGAGAUGAGACGGAGGAAGAAGAACCAAAGCCCAUAGAACUACCUGUUAAAGAGGAAGAACCUCCUGAAAAAGCUGUUGAUGUGGCAUCGGAAAAGAAGGUGGUAAAAAUCACAUCUGGAAUCCCUCAGACGGAAAGAAUGCAGAAGAGGGCUGAACGAUUCAAUGUCCCCGUGAGCUUGGAGAGUAAGAAGGCGGCGCGGGCAGCUAGGUUUGGAAUUUCUUCUGUUCCAACAAAAGGUCUGCCAUCUGACACCAAGCCUAUGGUUAACCUGGAUAAACUAAAGGAAAGAGCACAGAGAUUUGGUUUGAAUGUCUCUUCCAUCUCUAGAAAGUCUGAGGAUGAUGAGAAGCUGAAAAAGAGGAAGGAGAGAUUUGGGAUUGUGACAAAUUCAGCUGGAACUGGAACUACUGAGGAUACAGAGGCAAAGAAAAGGAAAAGAGCAGAGCGUUUUGGGAUUGCAUAAUGAAAAGUUCAUGCUUUCUGCCCCAUAGUGGUUUCCAUUUCUCAAAUUCUUCUUGGUUUUUUAUAUAUACACACAUACACACAUACACACACACACACACACACACACACACACACACACACACACAGAGUCAUGUGCCUCACAGUGAGGAAGUGUGUACCUUGGGUACAUCCUUGAAUUCCAGCAGCAGUUUGAUUUAACUGCUGCUCUGCAUUUAAGGUUGUUAUAUUUUUGUUUUUAAUUAUUUUGCUUAUUAAUAAAAAAAAAAAAAGAAAGAAAAGAGAACAUGUGUUUUAUUAGGUGCUCCUUUAAAUUCCUAGAGCCAGGUUAGGAAGACCACACAGAGAGAGUGUCAGUGGCAGAUAUUAGGGGGAAUUAACUGUAAUGCCUUCAUCCCAUGGAAAAAAAGAUAAGAAAAGAUUGAGUCUACCUUUUAAGCCUAUUUAUUAUCUUUUUCAUACCCACAGAUAUGCUUUUAUUUAUUUUUCAUGAUGAGGCCAAGUCACCCAAAGGUUGAAAUAGCCAGGUGGUAGUGGUGCAUGUCUUUAAUCCCAGCACUCAGGAGGCAG